CCCAAAAAUGAAGAAAGCAAAAAAAUCUUUCGAGGCUAUAUUAAACUUAAUAAAUAAGCACCACUAGAUUGCUAAAAAAAUAAUACUACAGAAUGUUUAGGAAAAUAUCUAACCCCUAGUGAUAGUGAUAGAUUUAGGAAGAUAUUCAAUAAUAACUGAUUUAAUCAAUUCUCUGUAAACUCUAGAAGAUCAACAAAAUUAGAUUGAGAGAUUUUACUUAUACCCUUAGGAUCUUAAAGUCUUCCCAAAACUACAAAAUCCUAGCCUACUUUCUAAGAAAACAAAAUAAAAUUAUGAACCUUUUAUAAAUUCUAGGACUGGCUC
rnacentral:lncRNA from 1 species